rnacentral:rRNA from 1 species
AAUGGAGGCAACUCUGACGCAGCCAUGCCGCGUGCAGGAUGAAGGCGCUACGCGUUGUAAACUGCUUUUAACCGGGAAGAAACCCCAGGACGUGUCCUGGGUUGACGGUACCGGAGGAAUAAGCACCGGCUAACUUCGUGCCAGCAGCCGCGGUAAUACGAAGGGUGCAAGCGUUAUCCGGAUUCAUUGGGUUUAAAGGGUGCGUAGGCGGGGUGGUAAGUCAGUGGUGAAAUCCUGCAGCUCAACUGUAGAAUUGCCAUUGAUACUGCCGCUCUUGAGUGUGGUUGACGUGGGCGGAAUGUGCCGUGUAGCGGUGAAAUGCUUAGAUAUGGCACAGAACACCGAUCGCGAAGGCAGCUCGCGAAGCCACAACUGACGCUGAGGCACGAAAGCGUGGGGAUCGAA